GGCCGUCUGGCGAAAUGGCAUCGCGUCUGACUACGAUUAAUCUAAUCAUUGUCACAUCAGGAGAUUGCAGGUUCGACCCCUGCGUCGGUCA
rnacentral:tRNA from 1 species